rnacentral:rRNA from 2 species
AAAAAAAAGAGUUUGGUGAUGGCUCUGAUUGAACACUGUCCAAGUGCUUGACACAUGCUAAUCGUACGUUUUAAUGAGUAGUUUAACUACAACUUAAAAAGUGGUGUACAGGUGAGUAGUUAGAUAUUGUUCGCCGGCCUUAAAGAGAAGGGUAAAGAUCCUUCAUAAAAAAUAAAGGGAUAAAUUUCCGCUUUAAGAGGACAAUAAAUAUCUUCGAGAUAGGUAGUAGUUAAGGUGAUGGCUUAACUAGCCGACAAGUCUCGUAGUCGAAUCUGAAAGGAUGAUCGACCACAUUGGGUCUGAAAAAAACCCAAUGCAUAUUAAGUACAGCAGUGAGGAAUUUUGGUCAAUGGCCUAACGGCUGAACUGGCAACUUGGAGAAGUGAUAAGUCCUAAUUUGAUGAUAUCUUAGUUUGCUAACAAUAUGAUUAUAUAUUAGCUUACUAAGAAUAUGAUCUAUAGGAUUGUAUUAAAAUAGAAUAAAGCUUUGUUUAUAUAUUGAUAAUGACAAUAUAUAUAUAAUGUCUUGACUAAUUACGUGCCAGCAGUCGCGGUAAUACGUAAGAGACAAGUGUUAUUCAUGUUAAUUAGGUUUAAAGGGUACGUAGACGGUCAAUAUAACUUGUAUAAUGUAAGUACUUGACUAGAGUUUUAUAUGAGAGGAGAGUACUUUAGGAGAAGAGAUUAAAUUCUAUGAUACCAAAGGGACUCGGUAAAGGCGAAGGCACUCCUUUAUGUAAAAACUGACGUUGAGGGACGAAGGCACAGAGAACAAAAAGGAUUAGAUACCCAAGUAGUCUUUGCAGUAAAUGAUGAAUGCCAAAGAUUAGAUAUAUUAUAAUCUGGUUUUUAAAUGAAAAUGUAAGCAUUCCACCUCAAGAGUAAUGUGGCAACGCAGGAACUGAAAUCACUAGACCGUUUCUGACAACAGCAGUGAAGUAUGUUAUUUAAUUCGAUGAUCCACGAAAAACCUUACCACAAUUUGUAUAAUAUUUUCAAUAUUACAGGAGUUGCACGGCUGUUUUCAGUUAAUGUUGUGAAACUAUGGUUUCCAUGAAAUUAACGAAAUCCCUGGCUUUAUUUUUUGAAUUUUACGAUAGAGCAUUAUAUCCCAGAUAUUAGGAUAAAAAAAGGGGACAAAGACAAGUCAUCAUGGCCUUUAUAUUGUGGGCUAUAGACGUGCCACAUAUUCCUAGACAAAGAGAUGCAAAAAUGUGAAUUUAAGCUAAUCUCAAAAAUAGGAUAUAAUUUUAAGGAUUGUAGUCUGAAAUUCGACUAUAUGAAUAAGUAAUUGCUAGUAAUCGUGAAUCACCAUGUCACGGUGAAUGAUUCUCGGAUUGGUACUAACUACUCGUCACAUGCUGAAAAGAAAUUACGCAAGAAGUUUGCUUUCCUGAGAAAUAGUAAAUAAAACAUGUAGGUUUUGUUAGCUUAAAAGCUGCCUAUUGACAGGAUUCUUCGUAUGCGCAACUCUGAUUAGUGUUAAGUCGAAAUAUGGUUCGUGUAGUGGAAGUUGCACGGGGUUAAUUAAUUUU